CGCAGCCUUAAAUAAAACCCUGCUCUCAUUCUCAUCCCUAGACACAAGACAUUCUCAAAAGGCUCUCUCAUCUCCAGAUCUCAUCGGUGGAACCAUGGGCGAAGAAGGCAAGAUCAUCGAGUUUGAGUCCGCGAGGCAGACACUCUUGUUCUGGAACAUGGAUGACUACCCAAUCCCUGUCGAUACAACCGAUGAUCUUGGUGCUGUUAGUAGCAAUAUGUUUGAAGCAUGAGAAUGCAAGUGUAUUCCGAGCAACCCAGUAGCGAAGAUUGGUUGAAUGCCGAAAUGUCUUACGCACCCAAAUGUAAGUCUUAUUCGGCUGCUGUUUACGUAUUUCCGGAUAUCGCUCUCUAUAUCAUUCGUUUGACAACAAGUAUGGGACCAGGACCAUUAAAUGUAUCCUUAAUCGCAAAGCCAAAUGGGGAGUUACUUAGGGUUCUGAGGUGUUUGAAAUCGAGGAAUCACGAUGUUCUCCUCAUAGACCCCCCGCCUUGUUGUCCUCCUCUCUUUAGUGUAGAAUCUCUACUUGAGCAUGCACGGCUUUUAGAUGGAGCAAAGCCUAGAUUCAAAGCUUUGUUACCUAAUUAUAUGUAUGUGGAUGAUAUCGACGAAGAAUAUCUAGACAUCAAAGAAGAUCUCUCCAAGACUGUAGAUUUCACCGGUAAAACCCAUUCCCAAAUUAUUUUAGAUUUUCUAUCUGUCAUUCUUUUAAAAAUGAUUAUAAAUGGUAUUUAUUUUAAUCUCUCUCUCUCUC